AUGCUCAUAAAUCAGUUAUAGUUUAUUUGAUAGUACCUUCUACCUGGAUAACCGUGGUAAUUCUAGAGCUAAUACAUGCCAAAAACCUCGACUCACGAAGAGGUGUAUUUAUUAGAUAAAAAACCAAUGCCCUCCGGGGCUCAGUGGUGAUUCAUGAUAACUUAACGAAUCGCAUGGCCUUGCGCCGGCGAUGGUUCAUUCAAAUUUCUGCCCUAUCAACUUUCGAUGGUAGGAUAGUGGCCUACCAUGGUUUCAACGGGUAACGGGGAAUUAGGGUUCGAUUCCGGAGAGGGAGCCUGAGAAACGGCUACCACAUCCAAGGAAGGCAGCAGGCGCGCAAAUUACCCAAUUCUGACACAGAGAGGUAGUGACGAUAAAUACCGAUACAGGGCUCUUUCGGGUCUUGUAAUUGGAAUGAGUACAAUCUAAACCCCUUAACGAGGAACAAUUGGAGGGCAAGUCUGGUGCCAGCAGCCGCGGUAAUUCCAGCUCCAAUAGCGUAUAUUAAAGUUGUUGCAGUUAAAAAGCUCGUAGUUGAACCUUGGGCCUGGCCGAUCUGUCUUCCUAACCGUUGUACGGAUUCGGUCGGGCCUUUCCUUCUGGGGAGCCCCAUGUCCUUCACUGGGCGUGGUGGGGAACCAGGACUUUUACCUUGAAAAAAUUAGAGUGUUCAAAGCAGGCCUUUGCUCGAAUACAUUAGCAUGGAAUAAUGGAAUAGGACAGCAGUUCUAUUUUGUUGGUUUCUAGGACCGCUGUAAUGAUUAAUAGGGGUAGUCGGGGGCGUCAGUAUUCAAUUGUCAGAGGUGAAAUUCUUGGAUUUAUUGAAGACUAACUACUGCGAAAGCAUUCGCCAAGGAUGUUUUCAUUAAUCAGUGAACGAAAGUUAGGGGAUCGAAGACGAUCAGAUACCGUCGUAGUCUUAACCAUAAACUAUGCCGACUAGGGAUUGGACGGUGUUUCUUUUAUGACCCGUUCAGCACCUUACGAGAAAUCAAAGUUUUUGGGCUCUGGGGGGAGUACGGUCGCAAGGCUGAAACUUAAAGAAAUUGACGGAAGGGCACCACAAGGCGUGGAGCCUGCGGCUUAAUUUGACUCAACACGGGGAAACUCACCAGGUCCGGACAUAAGAAGGAUUGACAGAUUGAGAGCUCUUUCUUGAUUUUAUGGGUGGUGGUGCAUGGCCGUUCUUAGUUGGUGGAGUGAUUUGUCUGCUUAAUUGCGAUAACGAACGAGACCUUGACCUGCUAAAUAGUCCAUCUGACUUUGGUUGGAUGCUGGCUUCUUAGAGGGACUUUUGGCUCAAGCCAAUGGAAGUACGAGGCAAUAACAGGUCUGUGAUGCCCUUAGAUGUCCUGGGCGGCACGCGCGCUACACUGACAGAGCCAGCGAGUUCAUCACCUUGGCCGAAAGGUCUGGGUAAUCUUGUUAAACUCUGUCGUGCUGGGGAUAGAGCAUUGCAAUUGUUGCUCUUCAACGAGGAAUGCCUAGUAAGCGCAAGUCAUCAGCUUGCGUUGACUACGUCCCUGCCCUUUGUACACACCGCCCGUCGCUACUACCGAUUGAAUGGCUCAGUGAGGCCUUGGGACUGGCUCAGAGAGAUCGGCAA
rnacentral:rRNA from 1 species